rnacentral:rRNA from 1 species
AUGAGAACUAAUCCUACUACUUCUCCUCCCGGGGUUUCCACAAUUGAAGAAAAAAGUACAGGUCGUAUCGAUCAAAUUAUUAGACCCAUGCUGGAUGUCACUUUCCCCCCAGACAAGUUACCUUAUAUUUAUAACGCUUUGGUAGUCCAGAGUAGAGACACUGCCGAUAAGCAAAUUAAUGUGACUUGUGAGGUACAACAAUUAUUAGGAAAUAAUCGAGUUAGAGUUGUAGCUAUGAGUGAUAUGGACGGGUUGAUGAGAGGAAUGGAAGUGAUUGACACAAGAGCUCCUCUCAGUGUUCAGGUCGGUGGAGCUACUCUCGGACGAAUUUUCAACGUUCUUGGGGAGCCUAUUGACAAUUUGGGUCCUGUAGAUAGUAGUGCAACGUUCCCUAUUCGUAGAUCUGUGCCUGCCUUUAUCGAGUUAGAUACAAAAUUAUCCAUCUUUGAAACAGGUAUUAAGGUCGUCGAUCUUUUAGCUCCUUAUCGACGUGGAUGA